rnacentral:rRNA from 1 species
GAUGAACGCUAGCGGCAGGCUUAACACAUGCAAGUCGAGGGGCAGCAUAAUGGAUAGCAAUAUCUAUGGUGGCGACCGGCGCACGGGUGCGUAACGCGUAUGCAACCUACCUUUAACAGGGGGAUAACACUGAGAAAUUGGUACUAAUACCCCAUAAUAUCAUAGAAGGCAUCUUUUAUGGUUGAAAAUUCCGAUGGUUAGAGAUGGGCAUGCGUUGUAUUAGCUAGUUGGUGGGGUAACGGCUCACCAAGGCGACGAUACAUAGGGGGACUGAGAGGUUAACCCCCCACACUGGUACUGAGACACGGACCAGACUCCUACGGGAGGCAGCAGUGAGGAAUAUUGGUCAAUGGACGCAAGUCUGAACCAGCCAUGCCGCGUGCAGGAGGACGGCGCUAUGAGUGGUAAACUGCUUUUGUACGAGGGUAAACGCAGAUACGUGUAUCUGUCUGAAAGUAUCGUACGAAUAAGGAUCGGCUAACUCCGUG